rnacentral:rRNA from 1 species
UAAUACGAAGGGUGCUAGCGUUGUUCGGAAUCACUGGGCGUAAAGCGUGCGUAGGCGGCUUGACAAGUCAGGGGUGAAAGCCCACAGCUCAACUGUGGAAUUGCCUUUGAAACUGUCUGGCUGGAGUGUCGGAGGGGAUAGCGGAAUUCCUAAUGUAGUGGUGAAAUACGUAGAUAUUAGGAGGAACACCGGUGGCGAAGGCGGCUAUCUGGACGACAACUGACGCUGAGGCACGAAAGCGUGGGGAUCAAACAGGAUUAGAUACCCUGGUAGUCCACGCUGUAAACGAUGGAUGCUAGCCGUCGGGGGGUUACCUCUCGGUGGCGUAGCUAACGCGCUAAGCAUCCCGCCUGGGGAGUACGGUCGCAAGAUUA